rnacentral:rRNA from 1 species
GCUAAAGGAUGGACCUGCGAUGCAUUAGCUAGUUGUAGGUAACGGCUUACCAAGGCGAUGAUGCAUAGCCGAGUUGAGAGACUGAUCGGCCACAUUGGGACUGAGACACGGCCCAAACUCCUACGGGAGGCAGCAGUAGGGAAUCUUCCACAAUGGACGCAAGUCUGAUGGAGCAACGCCGCGUGAGUGAAGAAGGUUUUCGGAUCGUAAAGCUCUGUUGUUGGUGAAGAAGGAUAGAGGUAGUAACUGGCCUUUAUUUGACGGUAAUCAACCAGAAAGUCACGGGCUAACUACGUGCCAGCAGCCGCGGUAAAU